UACGUAGGGUGCAAGCGUUAAUCGGAAUUACUGGGCGUAAAGCGUGCGCAGGCGGUCCGUUAAGACAGAUGUGAAAUCCCCGGGCUCAACCUGGGAACUGCAUUUGUGACUGCAUGGCUAGAGUGCGGCAGAGGGGGAUGGAAUUCCGCGUGUAGCAGUGAAAUGCGUAGAUAUGCGGAGGAACACCGAUGGCGAAGGCAAUCCCCUGGGCCUGCACUGACGCUCGAUGCACGAAAGCGUGGGGAGCAAACAGG
rnacentral:rRNA from 1 species